rnacentral:ncRNA from 1 species
AAUUUUAUGUUCUUCUUACUUGUAAGGAGCUAAGAUGGAAGCAGGUGCAAGUCCUGCACGGUCCCGCCACUGUAAUUGAUGAACCUUUAUUUAAAGCAAACGCUAUCCACUGAAGUAUCGGGAAGGAAAAUAGAGGUGCUGAAUCAUUAGUCAGGAGACAUGCAUAA